GAUGAAGAACGUAGCGAAAUGCGAUACGUAAUGUGAAUUGCAAAUUCAGUGAAUCAUCGAGUCUUUGAACGCACAUUGCGCCCCCUGGUAUUCCGGGGGGCAUGCCUGUCCGAGCGUCAUUGCUGCCCUCAAGCACGGCUUGUGUGUUGGGCCCCGUCCUCCGAUCCCGGGGGACGGGCCCGAAAGGCAGCGGCGGCACCGCGUCCGGUCCUCGAGCAUAUGGGGCUUUGUCACCCGCUCUGUAGGCCCGGCCGGCGCUUGCCGAUCAACCCAAAUUUUUUAUCCAGGUUGACCUCGGAUCAGGUAGGGAUACCCGCUGAACUUAAGCAUAUCAAUAGGCGGAGGA
rnacentral:misc_RNA from 1 species